AAAAAAUAAGUCCUAUUUUAGCAGGGGAUGUCUUAUUGACAGUUGGUAUGCACAACGAACGCUUCCUACAACCGUGAUUUAAUUUCAAAGUUUUUUAAAUGAAACUCUUAUGAUAUUGUGCACUUUCUAUAUAUUUCUUUUCAAACAAGGAACACGAAACGUGUGAUACUUAGAAAUUUAGCAUGCUUUUGAUUUGCGUAAAUACAUGUACCCUUCAUAGUACAGGAG
rnacentral:lncRNA from 1 species